rnacentral:rRNA from 1 species
UCUAGCUAGUAUGCCUGAGCAAAGCGUGCUUUAGUUCAGCCCCCCGAAACUAGACGAGCUACUUCAGGACAGCCUAUGUUGGGCAAACCCGUCUCUGUCGCAAAAGAGUGGGAUGAUCCUCAAGUAGAGGUGACAAACCUAUCGAGCCUAGUUAUAGCUGGUUGUCUGAGAAAUGUAUAUGAGUUCAGCCUCCCGGCUCCCCCCAUCCAAGACAUUUAUGUCUCCCAAGACCAAGUGCGGCCGAGAGAGUUAGUCAAAGAGGGUACAGCCCCUUUGAAGAAGGACACAACCUCACCGGGAGACUAAGGAUCAUAAUCAACGCAAGGAAACUUGUUUUAGUGGGCCUAAAAGCAGCCACCUAUGAAGAAAGCGUUAAAGCUCAUACAAUAUCCACCCCCUAAUACCGAAUCAAACUCCACACUCCCCACCUUCUAUCAGACCCUCCCACAAACCCUGGGAAAGACCCUGCUAAAAUGAGUAAUAAGAGGAACCCACUCCUCUCCCCGCACACGUGUAAGUCGGAGCGGACCCGCCACCGACAACUAACGGCCCCCCUCCGAGGGCCAUGAACUACUGCACAAACAGCGAGAAACCCCAUCAUAACUGACCGUUAACCCAACACAGGUGUGCAUGCCCGGAAAGACUUAAACAAAGGGAAGGAACUCGGCAAACACAAGCCUCGCCUGUUUACCAAAAACAUCGCCUCUUGCAAAACGAACAAAUAAGAGUCCCGCCUGCCCAGUGACCAUGUGUUCAACGGCCGCGGUAUUCUGACCGUGCGAAGGUAGCGCAAUCACUUGUCUCUUAAAUGGAGACCUGUAUGAAAGGCAUCACGAGGGCCUGACUGUCUCCCCUUUAAGGUCAAUGAAAUUGAUCUCCCCGUGCAGAAGCGGGGAUACGCUCGUAAGACGAGAAGACCCUAUGGAGCUUAAGACAUAAGACGACCCACGUCAAAAACCCCUCUAAAAGGAAGAGAACAAAAUGAGUUUCGUCGAAAUGUCUUCGGUUGGGGCGACCGCGGGGAAAGACCAAACCCCCACAUGGACUAGGGCCACAAUAGCCUUAGAACCCAGACCUCCAAGUCGAAUAAACAGAAUUUCUGACCACCAAAGAGCCGGCAAUGCCGAUCGACGGACCUAGUUACCCUAGGGAUAACAGCGCAAUCCCCUCCCAGAGCCCUUAUCGACGAGGGGGUUUACGACCUCGAUGUUGGAUCAGGACAUCCUAAUGGUGCAGCCGCUAUUAAGG